rnacentral:rRNA from 1 species
GCACCGCUGACGACCGGCGCACGGGUGCGUAACGCGUAUACAAUCUACCUUUUACAGGGGCAUAGCCCGGGGAAACCCGGAUUAAUAUCCCAUGGUAUCAUUUAGUGGCAUCACUUGAAUGAUUAAAGUUUCGGCGGUAAAAGAUGAGUAUGCGUUCUAUUAGCUAGAUGGUAAGGUAACGGCUUACCAUGGCUACGAUAGAUAGGGGUCCUGAGAGGGAGAUCCCCCACACUGGUACUGAGACACGGACCAGACUCCUACGGGAGGCAGCAGUGAGGAAUAUUGGACAAUGGGCGAGAGCCUGAUCCAGCCAUGCCGCGUGCAGGAAGACUGCCCUAUGGGUUGUAAACUGCUUUUAUACGGGAAGAAACACUCCCUCGUGAGGGAAUUUGACGGUACCGUACGAAUAAGGAUCGGCUAACUCCGUGCCAGCAGCCGCGGUAAUACGGAGGAUCCAAGCGUUAUCCGGAAUCAUUGGGUUUAAAGGGUCCGUAGGCGGGAUAAUAAGUCAGUGGUGAAAGUCUGCAGCUCAACUGUAGAACUGCCAUUGAUACUGUUGUCCUUGAGUAAUUAUGAAGUGGUUAGAAUAUGUAGUGUAGCGGUGAAAUGCAUAGAUAUUACAUAGAAUACCGAUUGCGAAGGCAGAUCACUAAUAAUUUACUGACGCUGAUGGACGAAAGCGUAGGUAGCGAACAGGAUUAGAUACCCUGGUAGUCUACGCCGUAAACGAUGGUUACUAGCUGUUUGGCUCGAUUGAGAGCUGA